CCCUUAGAUGUUCUGGGCCGCACGCGCGCUACACUGAUGAAUGCAACGAGCUCUACCCUUGACCGAAAGGCCCGGGUAAACUUGUGAAACUUCAUCGUGAUGGGGAUAGAUUAUUGCAAUUAUUGGUCUUCAACGAGGAAUUCCUAGUAGACGUAGUUCAUCAGACUGCAUCGAUUACGUCCCUGCCCUUUGUACACACCGCCCGUCGCUCCUACCGAUUGAAUGCUCAGGUGAGCCAUUCGGACUUUCAUCAUGCUGGUUUCCAGUUUUGAUGAAGGAAAGUCUUGCGAACCUUAUCAUUUAGAGGAAGGAGAAGUCGUAACA
rnacentral:rRNA from 1 species